AUGACGAGGCUAGUCCGGCUGACCAAUCACAAACGGCCUGUUUUCGUCAGAAGGGGCGUUGCCUGGGAAUCGUUCAUGAGGUGUCGCAAAGCAACUGUCGUGAGUUGCCAUGGUUACGGGCCGAUUCAACGCGACCGAAACAUGAGCAGGAUCCAAACUUGUCUGGUUUUAUUCCUGGUUUCUUCAGUCGCGCUGAACCAGACGAGCGCCGAACACGAGAAGAAAGCACAGAAAAGGAGAUUUGACGUGGCCUCCUUACCUAAGAAAAAUAAAGAGCUAACAAAGCUUUCUUCCUUGAAGGGAAGACAAGAGCAGCACUUAAAUGAGGGUUUUGCAGUGCUUUUUGAAAGCACCUUUUCGCUGGAAAUGAGCCUGUACUGUACUGUGCUGCUGUAUGCCAUCUCUCAGCUGCACUGCUGCAAACGUAUCUUCAUGCGGAGGAAAGAAAAGCCGUGGUCUGCUUACGAGGAGCUGGAGAUGAUUGAGAUGGGAUGAGGAAAGAUGAAGAGAUGUAGAUCAAAUACACAAGACACACACAUUCAGCACUGAAUGAACACAUCUGCACAUUUGUUUAAUAAAUACUUUGCUGUUUUAUAGUACCUAAAGUUU
ensembl:lncRNA